CGGUGUUUAACUGGCGUGAUGUGGGACGUCCUACCGGUGGGCUUAGCCUCGCGAGGGGCGGCCCAACUAAUAUCCCGUCGCGGUGCUCUUUACUGAGUGUCGAGUCGGGCCGGUACGUUUACUUUGAACAAAUUAGAGUGCUUAAAGCAGGCUAUCCUCGCCUGAAUACUGCGUGCAUGGAAUAAUGGAAUAGAACCUCGGUUCUAUUUUGUUGGUUUUCGGAACCCCGAGGUAAUGAUUAAUAGGGACAGAUGGGGGCAUUCGUAUUGCGACGUUAGAGGUGAAAUUCUUGGAUCGUCGCAAGACGGACAGAAGCGAAAGCAUUUGCCAAAAAUGUUUUCAUUAAUCAAGAACGAAAGUUAGAGGUUCGAAGGCGAUCAGAUACCGCCCUAGUUCUAACCAUAAAUGAUGCCAGCUAGCGAUCCGCCGAAGUUCCUCCGAUGACUCGGCGGGCAGCUUCCGGGAAACCAAAGCUUUUGGGUUCCGGGGGAAGUAUGGUUGCAAAGCUGAAACUUAAAGGAAUUGACGGAAGGGCACCACCAGGAGUGGAGCCUGCGGCUUAAUUUGACUCAACACGGGAAACCUCACCAGGCCCAGACACCGGAAGGAUUGACAGAUUGAUAGCUCUUUCUUGAUUCGGUGGGUGGUGGUGCAUGGCCGUUCUUAGUUGGUGGAGCGAUUUGUCUGGUUAAUUCCGAUAACGAACGAGACUCUAGCCUGCUAAAUAGGCGUACCUUAUGGUAUCGCGAAGGCCCCCGGCUUCGGCCGGUGGGUUUUUACUACCAACGUACAAACAAAUCUUCUUAGAGGGACAGGCGG
rnacentral:rRNA from 1 species